UAAAAAGGCACUUCCAGCAAAGUCAGGCAGCAAAGUCGGCUCUUGGAAAAGCUGGCCUCCUGUUUUGUAGACAGAGAGUUGUCGUGGUCUCCUUGGAGCUGCAUCCUGGCUUUGUAUGUGCAUUUCUAGGUCUCCCUUGAAACAAGCAUGAUGCAUCAGAGGAAAGCAACAAAAGACGCUGAGCUGCCUGUGGAUUUUAACAAGUGACAAGCUCAGUGCUGGGAACAGCCGAAAAGCCUGGAGACGUACAUGCCUCGGUGUAGUCCCUGGUGCUACGCAUUGCAACAGCUCCUUGAACGUCAGCCGGAGAAUUCCUUACAGUCCUUUUCAUAUUAUUGGAGACCAUCCUACCAAGUGGAAGAGCUCACCCACCAACCGAGAACAUAACGGAAAAAGGUACCUCUGUAAAGUGCUACCAAAAAGAUAAAUGCUAACUUUACACCUACCAGACUGAGAUAGGAAGACAAGGGAGCUUGGAACUGUGUUAUUUUAAAGGGAGAAAGGCCAUAAGUUUCAGAAUUUAGUAUGUCAUACUGGAGGCUCUGAACUGAAGCAUUUUCAGGUCUGGUACAUCCAGA
rnacentral:lncRNA from 1 species